ACGACGUCUUUUCCGAGCUGAUUGCCAAGGAGUACAUCCGCCAGAACAACGGCAAGAAGCGCAAGGUGAACGCCGUGCAGCUCGGCUACGAAGCCCGUUGCGCCAAGCCCCACGCAUUCGACGUGAUGCUGGGCAGCCAGCUCGGCGUGGGCGCCUACCGCGCGCUGGUCGAGCGGCGGCUCAACGGCGUGAUGGUCUCGGUCUCGGGGCAGCUCCAGCUCACCUACGUGCCGUUCGAAGACCUCGUCGAUCCACAGACGCUGGUGACGAUCGUCCGCUACAUUGAGCUGGGCAGCGACUUCCACCGGCUGACCCGGUUCCUGGAAACGAACGUCAACGCCGACGUCGGCCCCGGCAGCCCGCUCUGAGGCCAUAUGCGACGUUCGUCACGUCGAGGUCCGCCGAGACGUCCGGCCGCAAGUCUCCAUGCCGGACCCCUCGGCAGUCCUCCGGGUGACGAGAAACGCCCACGACCCGCCUCACGAUCCCAUAGGCGGGACGAAACCGCAGUGGUAGAUUCAUGGCGCCGCGUCGCAGUUGGCGCCGCCCCCCGCCCGAGACCCCCCGCAUGU
rnacentral:misc_RNA from 1 species